CGUUUCUUGUCCUGUCCUCAGAGGUUAAGAAGAAUCAUUUUUCUCCGUCCUCCUUGUAACAACCUUUUAUGUACUCGAAAAUGGCUAUUGUGUCCCCUCUCUGUUUGUAUCAGCUGCAAAUGUUGGCACCUCACUGCUUACCUCUUUUUCCAGAUCACUGAUGAAUAUUGCACAGCACUGGUCCCAGUACAAGCCCCUCUGGGGACACCUCUAUUUACUCCUCUCCAGUCUGAAAAAUGGACCAUUUAUUCCUGCCCUUCGUUUCCUACCUUUUAACUGGAGCGCCUGGCAAUGCUUUCAGGAUCAUCUAGCCUUAAUUUGAUUUAAUGACAAGACUUUUGUUAUCUCAGUCACUCUGCAGCUUUUUAUAAACACACUCCCUGCCCCAAAGGCAGAAGCUGUUAGCGGCGCAGAACUCCUCACCUUCCCCACUCCAGCUCUGAGCACCCAGGGAGUCACAUCUAUGAUUAAAUUGCUGCCCCAGCUUGUGUGUGUGUUUGUGCAUGAGUGACAGGUGUGUGUAUGUCUGUUUGCUAUGUUAGUCUGUAUGGAUAUCAUAUAUCAUGCAAUCUACCAGCUCUCCUGCAUAGCCUGGAUCCUGUGAGCAGCCAGGGACAAAUGCCCCCUGGGGCAGAUGGGAGCUGUGAGGGGGGUGGGCUGCUCCUUUCAUUGUGCAGGGGGAAGUGAUGCAGGAGGAGUCGGGGGCAGCUCUAGGCAGAAGCUCUGCAGUGGCAGAGACUAAAAUCUAAGCAGAGAAUGCUGCAUUCCUUAUUCUACUAGUUUCUUGCUGACUGGUGGAAAAAAGUGACUCUCAGGGUGUGUCUACACUGCACAGUAAGCCCAGCUCAGACUCAGGUUUGAGACCAAACCCCUUUUUGUCCACACACAGAUCAGUCUGACUCAGGUCAUGUCAGGUCCUAGCAUCCUGCUGGGGCGAGUCUGAGCCUGCAUCUUGGCGUGACUCCGGUCCGAGCCUUGACAUUUUGCCGUGUGGAUGCAGCGUAAGCUCCAAACUGGUCAGAAGAUCAACACGGUGCAGUAUCGACCAUUAGCAAGGCUGAGAGACCCAGGGCAGCAAUUGUAAACCCAGGUUUGCUGUGCAGUGUAAACGCUCAUGCCUGGGUUCAGACACAAGUGGCCACAAACCUGGGUCCCACAGAACUGGGUUUACAAUGCAGUGUAGACGGACCCCUACUGAUUCGUUGGCACCAUCCCAGGCCAGGUGUAGUUACCAAUGGGUUGGUGAUGAGGCCAGUGGAUACCAGUGAGAGGAGAUUCUAAUCCGGUGGCUUUUGACACCUCACUGGGCAGGUGGCCGAGAUGUUACAAGGUGCCAGGCAGGGGAGAAUCUGAAUCUCUGUAUGAGCACAGGAGACUCUUAUUGGAGAAGGCCCUAUCAGGACCACUCAUUGACCACACCCCUGACCUGAAAAGGCGGCAAAUUCAAAUCUUAUGAAAUACAUUUUCACACAAGGUGCAGCUGGCCUGUGGAACUCGCUGCCAUAAGACCUCCUUGGUCAAUCUUCCUUUCUGACUUCUGCCAAGUUCUUGGCAUUUAUAGGGAUAAUGGGACCAUCCAGAGUUAUAAACAUCAAUAUUACACAGUAACCUGGAGUGGGAAGGACUCUAAACCCUCCUGUGGCAAGGUACAAGCCCCAGCUUCUAUCCAAGGGGGGUGAGUGAGGAAUCUGUCACUGGAGCAGGUUAUUCCAUCACUGUCCAGUACAGGGGUGUCCUGCCCCUCCCGCUGAAGCAGCAGGCAAAGCCUCGAACCCAGACCCCACGGGACGGGACAGCAGUGAAAGGAAACAGAACAAGGAUGAUUCAGCGACCUGGAGUCGAUUUGGGCAGCGCCUGCUAAGGCCUGGUUGACCCUGGGGAUAAAAGCAGUGCCAAGAAAAGGUUUGAAACAGUCCGUUCGAACACAGCCCAGACGCAGUCUGGCUGAUCGGGGUAUUCAGGCAAAACUCACAGUCAAAUUUUAUUUGAAAGGUGUGUUCACUGAUCACCCCACGUAGCCAAACUUUGCCUGAGCUGUAAUCAAGUGAGCUGCUUUGAAUCUGUCCUUACGAAGGGCUCUGCCAGCCCCACCAUGAACUGGCCUCAGUUACCAGUGGCUGCAGAAAGGUGGUUCAGAUGAACAAGUCGCCUGUUUUGGAGUCCGUGAGUCUUUCCGAGACAGAAAAGAUGUUGAAUGGGUCGUAUCACGCUGAGAAAUUGAAAGCCAGGCCACUCCUGGCCUCUCAGGAAACCCAAAUGAAACAAAACGGAACAAUCAUGUGCCCAUCCCCUCCCAGGUGGAAAGAGCAGCAAAAUCUGCCCUACAGGUUUGCUGUCUCGAUUGAAACCAUGGGCACGUCGCUGGGCAGUUCCGAGUGUGGGUCUCAAUCUCGUACUGAGCAUCGCUGUUAUCAUCCUCAUCAUCGUCCUCAUCGCCGUGUCAGGUGAGUGUGGAGCCCGCACUGAUCCCGUCUCUGCAUCUUCCACUCAGUAUGGAAACAUCACAAUCCCCGCAACUUCUCUUCCCUCCCCCCCACAGCCCACGCCCGCUUCAACAGUCACAUCAGACUCUGCUGAGCCCAUGGCAUUUCUGUGGGGUCUCCCCCGCCCCCAGUGUUCAGCUCCCACCAGCUAAUGGUUUACUCUGCCCUGUUACCCAAACACACCUGCUUACCCAGGGGUGUGAGUCACUGUGUCAUUCCCCUGCCUCCAGCGGGAGGGAUCUGUACCUGUACCUGGCCUGCUGUUGGCUCCCUGACCCCACCGGCCUGUCAGCCUCGCAAGCCCUCUCUUCCUGGCUAGGACAGCCCUGGCUUUGCCCUGCAGGUAACAAUAACUGCACCCCAGUCCCUUCAUCCCUUUGCAGCGCUCCCCUGUGACAUCCAGCCCUGGCACUGGGUCCUCACAGAAAUCCCAGAUCCACUGCCCCUAAAGGGACAGUGUGUGCCAUUUACCAGUUUUACCAUAAACCGCUGCUCCUGUAUCUCACCCAGCCCUUGUGAGCGCGGCUAAUAAAACAAGACAAAAAGUUUGUUCAGGAAAGAAAAAAGUUUUAACUAGAAACAAGAGAACAAGAUGGGAACAACACAAAACAAAAUCACAAAACUUGAACCUGGGUCUACACUCACCGUUCCUGUCUAAUGAAGCUGCUUUCCCCCAAGUCCAGUCUCUUGCUGAGGUGGCCGGUUUCACAGGCAUCUGGAUCCAAGCCUUCCUGAAAGCCCCCUUGCUCCUCCUCAGUGAAUGGAUCCAGAGGAUCUUUUCCCCUCCUCUGGGAUAUUCAAACACAGAGAGAGAACAGCACCACCUGGUGGCUAGUUGCAUCAUCAUAGGUGUUCCUAUUCUGUACCUAGCAUCUCAUCUGUAGGUGCAUGGGGGUAACAGCGCCAUAUAGUGGUUGUUUAUAAUGAUCUUAGUGGUUGGUUGUAAGUGGCCUCACCCCCCUGGCCUUUUUGAGAGCACAGUUUUGUGCCCACAGUACAUUGCCCUGGUAUUGCGCCCCCCGCAGACCAGCCUGGCCAUUCAGAUGUCAAUGCGCCUGACGUGCAGGUGCAAUCAGGUAUCUCAAUGACUGUGUCUGUGUGGCAUAGGGUACAUGGCAGCCCUCAUUGAAAAUACCCAAAGUCAGGGCAGGCUGCAAAAGGGAGAGCAGAUACCCACCAGUCUUGGGAGUAACGCUGAAGUUAGAUGCCCCAGCCAGUCACAAAUUGUGCUUCUGAUCCCCCACACUGGUUAUUAAGAAGUUAAAAAAGAAAUCACCCAGCCCCCUCUAUUGCAUUCCAGUU